GUAGGUGGCAAGCGUUGUCCGGAAUUAUUGGGCGUAAAGCGCGCGCAGGCGGUUCCUUAAGUCUGAUGUGAAAGCCCACGGCUCAACCGUGGAGGGUCAUUGGAAACUGGAGAACUUGAGUACAGAAGAGGAAAGCGGAAUUCCACGUGUAGCGGUGAAAUGCGUAGAGAUGUGGAGGAACACCAGUGGCGAAGGCGGCUUUCUGGUCUGUAACUGACGCUGAGGCGCGAAAGCGUGGGGAGCAAACAGGGAUUAGAUACCCUGGUAGUCCACGCCGUAAACGAUGAGUGCUAAGUGUUAGGGGGUUUCCGCCCCCUUAGUGCUGCAGCUAACGCAUUAAGCACUCCGCCUGGGGAGUACGGCCGCAAGGCUG
rnacentral:rRNA from 1 species